rnacentral:rRNA from 1 species
GAUGAACGCUGGCGGCGUGCUUAACACAUGCAAGUCGAACGGGAAACCUUUUAUUGAAGCUUCUGCAGAUUUAGCUGGUUUCUAGUGGCGGACGGGUGAGUAACGCGUGGGUAACCUGCCUUAUACAGGGGGAUAACAGUCAGAAAUGGCUGCUAAUACCGCAUAAGCGCACAGAGCUGCAUGGCUCAGUGUGAAAAACUCCGGUGGUAUAAGAUGGACCCGCGUUGGAUUAGCUGGUUGGUGGGGUAACGGCCCACCAAGGCGACGAUCCAUAGCCGGCCGGAGAGGGGGAACGGCCACAUUGGGACUGAGACACGGACCAGACUCCGACGGGAGGCAGCAGUGGGGAAUAUUGCACAAUGGGGGAAACCCUGAUGCAGCGACGCCGCGUGAAGGAAGAAGUAUCUCGGUAUGUAAACUUCUAUCAGAAGGGAAGAUAAUGACGGUACCUGACUAAGAAGCCCCGGCUAACUACGUG